rnacentral:rRNA from 1 species
CAGCAGCCGCGGGAAUACGAAGGGUGCAAGCGUUAAUCGGAAUUACUGGGCGUAAAGCGUGCGUAGGCGGUGAGUUAAGUCUGCUGUGAAAUCCCCGGGCUCAACCUGGGAAUGGCAGUGGAUACUGGCUCGCUAGAGUGUGUCAGAGGAUGGUGGAAUUCCCGGUGUAGCGGUGAAAUGCGUAGAGAUCGGGAGGAACAUCAGUGGCGAAGGCGGCCAUCUGGGACAACACUGACGCUGAGGCACGAAAGCGUGGGGAGCAAACAGGAUUAGAUACCCCAGUAGUCCCUGUCUCUAUACA